rnacentral:rRNA from 1 species
GUCUACAGCCAUACCACCCUGAAUGUACCUGAUCUCUUUUGAUCUCAGAAGCUAAGCAAGGUCGGGCCUGGCUAGUACUUAGAUGGGAGAAAAGAGGGAGGCAAGUACCAAGGCA